UAUAAGAUGAAUUUAGCCCACAAUUUUGGUGAUUCCAUUUAGUUAAGAACUGAUUACUCCAUACACAGCUCGGCGUUUGGACAUUUUGAGCACCAAUAUAGUGGAUUUUUUUUUAAAAAAUGAUGCGUUUAGCCUUGUCUUCUGAGUCAAACUAAAUUAAUCAACUCAAAUGCUAAGUGCAAAGCAUUGUCUUUAAAAGCAAUUGGUUAACGAGUUUUCAUAAAAGUAAAUUAAUAGACAUCCAUAUUUGGCGUCUAACUUCGAUGCUAUCCGACUUUGUCGAGUUUCUACGGUCGAGUCAUAUUUUAUACAUUUUUUACGUCAAGUCAUUGAUGGUCAAUAUAAUAUUAAUAGUGUUCACAUGGCGUAAGAAUUACUGAGGUGUUUGUUGAGUUUCUACAUGAAGGAUUAACUAUACGCAUUUACGUACGAUUGCAGGGAUUGAAAAGUAGACGAUUACAAUUGAUCCACAGCGAGAAACAAAAUAGUUUAAAGCAUUAAAAACAACCAGAGGUCCAAUCUUACUUUGAUUUACCUGCCAGGAAUUUGUUGGAAAGGUAAGAAGGCAAAUCAAUCAAGUCACAAAAAAAAAUUGGUUUUAAUUCUUUUGACAUGCACAUGAUAAAUGGCUUUCAUUAGGAUAUACCUUCUGAAGCCGUUGAGUAUGUCUAUUAUAUAUAUAAAGAUGUCUAAUGAGUUAGGUUUGCAAUUUUGCGAUUAAAAAUGGAAGAAAACGUGUGCUUAAGUGAACAAUUUGACUAACACAUUGAUAUAGUCAUAUAGACGCACGUACAAAUAACCGCAUAAAAACAAGUUUCUACAAGGUACAUCAGAUGUUAUAAACAAUAAAGCCAAUUGACGAUAAAAUAUACUACAGAGUACACAAAAUGUUGCAAAAGCCAACUUUAGAAUAUCAUCCGCUUCAUGCAUAUUUACAUUACACUAUACAUACAUGAUACUCGUAUUACAUGCAUGUAUGAUGUCAUUUCAUUUUCGUCAUUGGACUCUUGUGUUAAAAAAGACUAGAGACAUAUAUAAGCUGUCAUAUGUAAUUUUAAGUAGGAUGUCGUAACUACUUCCACUACUAACCUCUGACAUUAGGAAAUUAAUACGAAUCCAUUUUAACUAGUUAUUUUUAUCAAUGUUACAAUACUAAGAAGAUGUUGGAGGAUGUAGAAAGAAGACAACCGUUGGCUAAUCUUACAAUACUAAAAAGACUUGAGGGUCAUCAGCUAGCUAUGCCAGACAAAAAAUUCAUGGCCAAUUAAAUUGACAUCUCAGCUUUAAAAUCCAUGUCAUCCAACGAAAAGAAAAAAACCUACAAUUCAAUCGGCGAUUAUGAAUCGUUUCUUCACCCUCUUUCAUCAAUUCAGCCAUUAUAACUCCUUCAAAACAUACAAACCGACGAUAUGAAUCCACUCUCUUAUUCUAUAUAAGCCAAUGUCGAUCCAAGUCCACAAGUCCAAACUCACAGGUUCCGUUUCUUUAGUGUAUAUGUUUUCUGUAUUUGUACACAGGUUCAGUAUGUUAAUUAAUCAUCACAUCGAAAGAGGAUCUCAGUGUAAGUAACAUUUAACAUCGCAUGCUUUGGAUACUAAAACUUGACGAGGCGUUCGUUCGUUGAUGCGGUUAAUCAGCUCGGUAGAUGUGAACUUCGUCUAGCUGAUGGAACUCGAGAUAGCGAUGGUAAAGGAGAAUAAAACUCAAAGACUGUUGGUCCUCGGAUGGAUAUGUUCCCAUAUGUGUCUUAGGACGAAAGAUGGAUCUCUAUUCAAGGAGAUCCUGGAUAACUGGUCUAGGUUGGAAGAUAUUCAGUCAUAACGGUCUCUGGAUCGCUUCUUUGUGUUUCAUGGUGAGCAGAUUCCAAUUCUGUCAUACAUGUAUCUGAGAGUGAAGGAGAUAUGAGCAGAACUGGACAGAGAAAGGUCUCUGACAAACAAAAAGGAGAUAUGUCUAACGGGGAGUGUAGACCAUCACUAGAUGGAGAUUAGACCCCGAAUGGUCAAUUUGCAACUCAGAGUGGUGACCAAGACUGUUCUGGUAAGACAGUUUGGAUUAAAAAAAAUGUAUGCAAAGAUGGAAGAUCGUAAGAGACGUACAAAAGAAUUUCUUUUGAACUUCCAUAAGUCUCAUUUCUUUGUCAUGAAUGCAAAGUCUGGUGAGCUACGUUGGUCAAAGAAAUGCUCUCUGGCCGCAUGUACAAAUUUAGAUGAAAACAAGAUUAUUUGGAAAAAAAGAGGAGGCUUUGAUCCUUACAUUGAUUUCAGUUGUGCAAACAUUGCUUCUAAGUUCACUGCGAAAAGCACAAGGCAGUGUAGAAGAAGAUGGUGUACAUAUACCUUACGACUAUGAUCUUCUGAAGAAGAUGCACUUCUGUGUGAGGUUAGAUAUUUUUAAUCACAUACGUUUAUAGAGUUGGCACCCGAAGAAGAUGCAUGCUACACCAGUUUUUUAAGUUCGGCUUUCAUUGAGAUUUGAUUAUCUUUUUUCCUAGAUGCAUCAUGUUUGUUGUUGUAUUGACAUCAUCUUGAUAGAUGUCUUAGCUUAGAAACACUGAUCUGAGAAGUCUAUUAUAGAUGGCUCGACCAAUAAAGAUUAAAUUUGUGUAAGUAAGAAAAUAUCAGUCCACACCGGAAAUGUAAAGAUGCUAGAGUCCAAGGUAUCUGUACAAUCUAAUGUCUAAUAUUAUAAUUAAAUUAAUUUCUUCUGAUUUGCUUAUACAGUUAUCAUCCCUAUAAAUGUUCAUAUUGAGCUGUUGCAAAUAUGAAUAUUUUCAGUUGAUUUUUUUGUUCUGAUGGCUUAAACGAUCAUCUCCAACAAUCCCGUUGUCAUUCAUGUCCUUUCACGUUCUCUUUUCUGUUUUGAAAUUAGUCCUGCAAAUUCAAGGUAAUAUCAGUAGUGGUAUAGCUUUGAAUAAUCUUUGGAAAGCAUGUUCUCUUAUACUGUGUUGCAAUUCUUAAUCUACAUUGAUUCAUUAGCUUCUUAUAAAGUUGCUUGGUACUGUUAUGGAAAAAAAAAUUGAUUUUAGAAAUUUCAAAUCUAGCAAAGUAGCGGAAAGAAUAUGAUUGGGACCCUGUUUCUUAAUACUCCAAGAGAAUCCUGGUGUUCAGAUCACAGGCUGGUUUGUGAAAUAUUUGCAGUAGAAUUUGAUGCAAAGAGUAUGAACAAAGGUAAAUUCAGGAAGGGUAUUCUUGCGCAGCUGCAGGAUUUGUUGAAGAUUGCCUCCACAAAAGCAUAGUUUUAACUACGAUUAUUACAGUUCUUUUUGAGAACGAAAUAUAUGAUUUGGAAAAGUAAUUUUUUUUCUUCAUUGUAUAGCUAUAUGUUUUUUUGGCAUCAGCCAUCAUGAUACAUAUAUAUAUAGAUACUUUAAUGUUA